rnacentral:rRNA from 1 species
UACGUAGGGUGCAAGCGUUGUCCGGAUUUAUUGGGCGUAAAGAGCUCGUAGGCGGUUUGUCGCGUCGGAUGUGAAAACCCAGGGCUCAACCCUGGGCCUGCAUUCGAUACGGGCAGACUAGAGUAUGGCAGGGGAGACUGGAAUUCCUGGUGUAGCGGUGAAAUGCGCAGAUAUCAGGAGGAACACCGGUGGCGAAGGCGGGUCUCUGGGCCAAAACUGACGCUGAGGAGCGAAAGCAUGGGGAGCGAACAGG